rnacentral:rRNA from 1 species
UGUAAGCGUAUACCAAAGUUGUUGCAGUUAAAACGCUCGUAGUCGGAAUUUGGCAGUUCCGGAAGUGUGCACGUCGUGUGCGCACUUUGCGGGGACUGCUUUUGUGGUCUUGCGUAGGAUGAGGCACUUUCAUUAGUGAACGUCCUCACGCAACCACUCUUUACUGUGAGAAAAUCAGAGUGCUCAAAGCAGGCAUUUGCCGUGAAUGUAUUAGCAUGGAAUAAUAGAAUAGGACUCGGUUCUAUUUUGUUGGUUUGUUGGGACUGAGUAAUGAUUAAGAGGGACAGUUGGGGGCAUUUGUAUUCCGGCGCUAGAGGUGAAAUUCUUAGAUUGCCGGAAGACAAACUGCUGCGAAAGCGUCUGCCAAGGAUGUUUUCAUUGG